GCUCCCGAGGGCGCGGCUGAGGGGAGGACGCGGCGGGGGGCGGGCUGACUGCGCCCCCGGUGGCCGCAGGUCUCGGCCGGCCCCGGAGCCGGGGAGACGCGGCGGGCGGCUCGUGAGUGCCAAGCGCGACAUGGCGCGGAAGCCGAGAAGCCCUGGAGGCCCAGCUGGACUGAUCAAGCAGUACAGAAUGGAGGUCGGAGGGAGAGAAGGUCCUCCAGGGAGAUGAGAAAUCGCCGAGCACCUUAAGUCUCAAGGUUUGCUGACGGCCAAGACCAGGCUUUGAAUGAAUGGUGAACUCAGAGGGGAGCGCGUUGGCCUGAGGAACCCACGGAUGCCAGUGUUGGUCUAUUCUUGCUUUCAGGUACCCCUUGGAACACAGAAUAGCAGUCUAGUCCUGCUGCCACCCCCACAAGGCUGGGCAUGGUUCAAAGGCAUGCAGGAUGCAAAGAAGAGUCAGCUUUGGCUGGGGAGGAGUGGUUUGGUGUACACUGCUACUGAAAUAGAAACUUUUGGCCUUCUGUCUGUAGAAAUAAAAAUCUGACUUGGUGAUGUUUUU
rnacentral:lncRNA from 1 species